CAACCCGUGCAAUGCACGGGUCCAUAUCUAGUAUGAUAUAAGACAUAGACAUGAAAAAGGUAUGGACCUAUGGUGUUCAAAAUUUUUUUUCACUUUUUUAUGUGAAAACAUUUAUUCCCUUAUGAUCAUAUAAACCAGCGGUGGAGAAAUAUAUCCACUUCAAUCACAUCUAAAACCAAAAUUUACUUAAAGCAAAGUUAAGGAAAAGUUGAUGAUUCUAAGUCUCAAUCAUGAAAAAAAGAUGCUAAAAUCUAACAGUCAGCUAUAUAAUGGAGGUCCAUCCUUAUUGAUAAAAAUAGAGGGAAUAAAAUUUUGAUUUUUGGUGUAAUCACAUCGAUAGGCUUUACUUUUUACUUUUCCUGGCUUUUGCUUUUUAACCCUAAAAGUGAAAAAAAAAAAACAGAGAUUCGAAAGAUCUUUGAUAUGUCUUCAUGAUAGGACAAUCAUCAUCGUCUUCUUGCAUGAAUCCCAUGUACUGCUGAGUGCUGAUUCUAUGCCUCCAAGUUUUCAAGAAAAAAAAGUUUAAAGAUUAAUUCAAGGGAAUAUAAAAAGAGUUGUUGGAUAUAUCACUGCCAUCAUCUUGAUUCAUGAUCGAAAACCGAAAAACGAGUAAGAUGCUGCAUGAGUGUAUGGAACUCAUACAAGUAAGUACUCGCGAGGAUAUAUGUAAGAACUCUGACUCCGUUGGUACAUUUAUAUAUAAUAAAUCUUUUUGUUUAUCGUAAAUACAUUUUUUCGAAUUAUUUCAGUUCGAAAAAUCAAUGAGGCAGGAAAUGUCAAAGUAGAAUUAUCGUUAAAGCGAAUUCAAAGAAUUUGUUCAGUAAACAAUCAUGAGAAAGGUUGAAGUCAUUGGAGCA